ensembl:lncRNA
AAUGUGGGACCCUCUUCUGAUAUGUGAUCUACAGCGAGCUACUUUGAAUCGUACGAUGACAAUGUUAUCACUGCCACAUCUCUGGGAACCAGUUAUUCAUAAGUAUACGGGCAAGCCGUAGCCGAUGCUCUUUGUGCCCAGCGAGCGACUUCUCCCCACGCAGAAGCAUGCCAGUUCACAAGCUGUGCUUGCCACUUCCUCCCUGCAGCAGCCAUCGUUUCUCUCCUGCUUUUCUGGGUCAGCCAGUUGGCCAAAAAGUGGACUGUCUACUUAAGAAGCUGAGAGUGAGUUAGAAACGUUGAUGAAGCCUCUAUUCUGUGAGGUGGAAGAGAGAGUCAACAGCCAUAUUUGCUGGAGCGGUGAACCAAAUUGCCUUGACUGGAACCAUUACUCACUUGCACCUUUGACAGCAGCAGCCAGGUAGGACAGCAAAGAAAGGACGGGUUUGAGUGAACUGAGGGAGUGGGCCUCAGUGAAUAGUUUUUCAUUCUCAGAAGGCUUCACGUGGAAGUCACAUUUAAAUACUGAUUAUAUGUCCUUUUGUUACAACUGAAGUCAUCUCUUGCUGAAAUCAGAGGCAUUUCUCUUUUGGGACAGGUUAUGGUUUCGUUCAUUUGGAAGUGUUGUCUUUGCUUUGUCCGCAUAUUUGGUUUGCCACUUUCCCUUCUCUAUGCAGUUCUUGCAUCAAGUGUCCAGGGAGCACACUUGUUGAACCAAAUAAACAGAAAAAUGUGUUUGUAAAAAUAGAAGGAGAAAUGGUCGGUGGGCUUUUGAUAUCUGAAACAGGGGUUUUUUUCAUUUUUAAAUUGUCCUAAAGUAUGAGUUGAUGAUUUCUGCUUGACCAUCUUGCCAUUUCAAGUGCACCAUUGACAAUAGUGUUCAAGGUUUAUUUUUUCCUCUGGGUCUUGAACACUAGGGCACAUAGAGACUGCAGUUAUGAAAGUGCUGACACUGUAGUAUAAUGACAUUCAAGCUAGCUUCAAGUUAGUGGA